rnacentral:tRNA from 1 species
GGGGCGUUAGGCAAGUGGUUUAAGCCGCCAGUCUUUCAAGCUGGAAAUCGCGGGUUCGAAUCCCGCACGCCCUA